rnacentral:tRNA from 1 species
CCUUGGAUAGUUUAAUAAAACGUAGUGUUGAAGCCGCUGAGUUGGGCUUAGCCCUCCGGGGG